UGUUAAAAAUUUUAUCUAUUUGUACUGAUAAAAACUGACGUGCUUGACAAAAUAAUUUGAUAGUGACACAUGACAUGCCACGUAUACAUCAUGUUGAUAUACAUGAACCAAUAUUUAACUGUAGAAAAAGAUGAAAUCUUUAACA
rnacentral:pre_miRNA from 1 species